ACACCUGGGUGAUGAUCUCUUUGUAAUGCUAAGCAUCUCUUACAGUCAUUAAGAAAUACACGCAAAGUAUUAAUUCAUAAACAUUGGCCAGAAGACUCUCUUGGAAGAUUAUGUUUACGAACUGAAAGAAAAAACAUCAUAGCAACCCUUCCAGUAGACCUCCUGGAUAUUUGACUGGUGCUAAGCAGUCAUGUGUUGCUCUCCUGAAGCACAAGCUCUGGAUGAAGAUACAGAAGAAUGAUGGAACCAACCUUGCAAACACUUUUCAGAACAAUUUGGAUCCACUACUAAAUCUAAGCUUAAAAAUCGGGUCCUAUCUUUACAAUGAGAUAAGAUAAGUGAAUACAGGCUAAGUGAAUCUUUAUUGGUGAGCAGUUUUGAAACAAUAACUUCGAGCCAGUUAACACAGACAAGGCAAAAAAUUUUCAUCUCCACAGAUUUUUGCUUAUGAGAGAAGAUUUACCUCCCGGUCAGCUGGUUCUAGAGAGGAACAGAGAGCAUUCUGCUCUUGGCUUUGCCUCUACACUGGCACCAGGUCCUCAAAAUAGAAAAUUAGAAAUUAUUAUUAUAUCUUAGAAAAGAGAGUCUGACUCCAAUGGUCCAAAACAUGGCAGCAAUGUCUGAAAAAAAAUCAGGCAUAUAAUCUGUUUGAGAGGGUUUGGUUUCCAAUGCUGGUGGUCACGUAGGCGUAAAGUAAGGAAGAACUAGAAAUAAUAUGCAAUUUGAGAAUUUACAGUUAUUUAAUUUGGUGUUAGUAUCUCGUGGUGUAUUUUUCUGGAAGCUCUUCACAGUCUAGGCAACAAGAUUACAUAUAUAUAAUUAAGAAUUGUGUUGACAUAAAAUAUAUUCAUCCUAAGCAGUCACAAUAUGCAAACAAUGGGCAGACAAUGGGCAAUGAAAGAAAUAACAGAAACGGAAGCAAAGAAAACCCUCUCUCAACAAAGAAGAUACUUGUUACAUGGAAAGCACACUGCUUGCCUACAAACAGAAGGCUGGUAGCACACAGAUCUCUAAGCCAAACAUUUGAAUCUUUAACUAAUAAUCACUCAACCAGGACUUUGUGUAAGCCUCUUUUCUCUGCUCCUGGCUUUUAUCUGUUGUUGCGUCUUUGUGUGAAUACAUGCAUGCACAUAUGGACUAUUUGUACUGUACUGCUCACUGCUCUCUCUAUUGGCUUUGAAAACAAAUA
ensembl:lncRNA